GGACCCGCACAAGCAGCGGAGCAUGUGGUUUAAUUCGAAGCAAUGCGAAGAACCUUACCAGGGCUUGACAUCCCGCCGAAGCGGGGGGCAACUCCCCCGCGCCUUCGGGCGGCGGAGACAGGUGGUGCAUGGUUGUCGUCAGCUCGUGUCGUGAGAUGUUGGGUUAAGUCCCGCAACGAGCGCAACCCUUGCCCCUAGUUGCCACCGCGUGGUGGCGGGCACUCUAGGGGGACUGCCGGGGAUAACUCGGAGGAAGGUGGGGACGACGUCAAAUCAUCAUGCCCCUUAUGCCCUGGGCUACACACGUGCUACAAUGGCCGGCACAGCGGGACGCGAAGCCGCGAGGCGGAGCAAAUCACCAAAGCCGGCCCAGUUCGGAUCGCAGGCUGAAACCCGCCUGCGUGAAGCCGGAGUUGCUAGUAAUCGCGGAUCAGAACGCCG
rnacentral:rRNA from 1 species